rnacentral:rRNA from 1 species
CAGCCGUAAACUAUGCGCGUUAGGUGUAUCGGUGACCACGAGUCACCGAGGUGCCGAAGGGAAACCGUGAAACGUGCCGCCUGGGAAGUACGGUCGCAAGGCUGAAACUUAAAGGAAUUGGCGGGGGAGCACAACAACGGGUGGAGCCUGCGGUUUAAUUGGACUCAACGCCGGGAAGCUCACCGGAUAAGACAGCGGAAUGAUUGCCGGGCUGAAGACUCUGCAUGACUAGCUGAGAGGAGGUGCAUGGCGUAGUCGUG